GGGGGUGUGGCGGAAUUGGUAUACGCGCUCGGCUCAAAAUCGAGUGGCUUCGGCCGUGUGGGUUCGAGUCCCACCGCCCCUA
rnacentral:tRNA from 1 species